AUUAUAUCUCUCCAAUUUUAUUACCUGCAAAUUAUAUAGAUAGAUGAUGUUCAGAAGAGAGAGCUAGCUGGAGUCUGUAGUUGUCGAUCAUCAGCGAUGGUGGUGUGUUGGUGGUGGAGGAUGGUGCACAGGAGGAGGUGGUGUGUGGACUACAACCACUGGAGGAGUGUGAUGGGACGACGGUGGUGGAGGCGGAGUUUCCUUCACAACAACCACUACAGGAGGUGGGGAUGGAGUAGGAUGAUGAUGCUUCCCUGUAAACCAAAGAUCAACACCAUUCCAGUCAUGAAAUAUUAUCCAAAAGUACAGGAACUUUGCAAUUCACGAUGAGUAAGUAAUUACCUGG
rnacentral:lncRNA from 1 species